rnacentral:misc_RNA from 1 species
AAGACUAUAGACCUGCGGAGUACCUGCGGAAGGAUCAUUACUGAGUUAGGGUCUUCCAGGCCCGACCUCCAACCCUUUGCCUACCUUACCUCUUGUUGCUUCGGCCGGCCCGUCCCCCCUAGAAAUAGGGGUCGACCGCCGGAGGGCUCACACCCUCUGGUCCGCGCCCGCCGAUGGCCCUCAAACCAAAACUCUUGUUCAAUCGUGAAUUGUCUGAGUAUACAAAACAAAAUAAACCAA